AAGCUGCUUGUACUANUAACUAGHGUAAGAUCGACUAUGUUGACUAAAGUUCUAGGUAGAGAUUUGAUAAUGACAUUUUCUAUCUAUGUGUCUUGACCAAAUCACGUGCCAGCAGUCGCGGUAAUACGUGGAAGACUAGUGUUAUUCAUCUUUAAUAGGUUUAAAGGGUACUUAGACGGUUGAUUAAGCCUCAAAAGGUACUAAUCGACUAGAGUUUUAUGCAAGAGGGGGAGUACUAAAGAGUGUAGAGAUGAAAUUCUGUCAUACCUGAUUUGGAACAGACAACGGCGAAAGCAACCUUUUAUGUAAAAACUGACGUUGAAAGACGAAGGCUUAGGACACCAACAGGAUUAGAUACCCCAGCAGUCUAAGCAGACAAUGAUGAAUGUCAUAGAUUAGAAUUAUAUUUUUGUCUAUAAAUGAAAGUGUAAGCAUUCCACCUCAAGAGUAAUGUGGCAACGCAGGAACUGAAAUCAUUAGACCGUUUCUGAAACCAGUAGUGAAGUAUGUUGUUUAAUUUGUCGGUCCGCAAAACACCUUACCACAAUUUGAAUAUUUUUAUUUUAAACAAUAUAUUAUAUUGUUUAAAAUAAUAUUACAAGCGUUGCACGGCUGUUUUCAGUUAAUGUCGUGAGAUUUUGGUUAGUUCCUUAAAAUUAACGUAAACCCUUGCUUUAUUUAUUAAUAUAAAGUAGUUCUCCGUUAUAUUGGAUAUGAUAAAAGGGAAUAAGACAAGCCCAUAUGGCCUUAAUAUUGUGGGCUAUA
rnacentral:rRNA from 1 species